AAACAGAUGUAUGGUAAAAUAGGAUAUGCAAGCAUGUAGAUUUUGGCCUGUAUUCAUGCGGUUUGUUUAGCUUGAAGAAUUGAUUUCACAAAAGUAUGGUUUAAUUUCAAAUGAUGUCGGGUUGAUGUGCUAAGAUCGGGAAAUGGGUGAGUGAGAAAAGGAAGUUAUGGUAAUUUUAUGAUCGAUUAGUUUGGAAACGUGUUUUAUGGGCGCAUUGUAUAUUUCUUAAAUUAUAAAUUUUUUCUAUUCUAUAUUAACUGAACUGAGAAAGUGGAUUCAUUGUGCACAGCUUCCCGUAGAGGUAUAAUGUGCACAAAUCGGAAGUAUGACUAGGAGAGUGAAAUAGAUAAGGAGGUUACUGAAAUUAGAAUACUUUCGUCCAAUAUACUUAGGAGUGCAAGUCUAAGGUCGAAGAAAGGCUGGAAGUGAAACAAGUCCCUUGCUUACAAAAAAAAAAAAAUGGGAGAUGCAAACAAUCUAAGGACCGACAAACCGUAGGUAUGGACGGCGUGUAAAGGCAAUCCGUAGGAAUGUGUGAAAUAGAAUAUGAUACGUUUAAUAAAAGUCCUUCUUUUCCUCUACAUCACAAAUUUCAAGCAAAACGAAGUAAUAAUAAUAAGGAAUUUUUUCUUUCGUUGGUCUGACUAAUUUUUUAGGUUCGAUAUAAACACUACGAUUUCCAUGCAUGUUUUAAUUCAGCGGAUGAAGAUAUAACCCAUACGUUGUUGUUUCCCAUCGCUCACUCUACAUUCGCUUAAAUAAACUACUACCAUUUGACUCGUCAAACAAAGAUUGAAGGUGGUAUUCACAAGCUUGUUUUAUGUUGAAUUCAAUUUUUAGUUGGUAAAAGUACUUUAAGCAUAAAUGCCAUUAACUGCUGUUCAUGAAAGAGGGGACGUUAUAGGUGGCAGAAUUAAAUUUCACUAUAUAGAGAACUAUAGUGUUUUUUGGUCAUCAUCAGUAAGUGCAGAAACAGCAUCAACUUAGUAAACAAAAUAGUUACUUAGAUUUCGCUUUAUUCUUUAUUUCCCUCUCCAAGACUUCACAAAGUCCUCGAAAAUUCACGAUGCUGAUAGCUUCAGCUUUUCAGCACCAUUUUUUCUUACUUGAGGGCGAGUUGAUUAAAUUCAUCCUCUGCAAAUCCUUCUUCUUUUAUCUUUUCUCUCUAGAACGUUUGAAAAAUUAGUUACACACGUCCAAUUCCCUUAGUUGGAAUUCAUACCUGUUGAAACUCUUGCAAUGCUGCUAAACGCCGUUGCCUAUGAGAAUAAUAAGAUUGGCCAAGAAGAACAGUGCCUCCAACAGUGCCGAAAAUUAGAAUCGAUACCGAUCCCUUUUGUACAAUGUCGUAAAUUCGAUUUCUGUUCAUAACACUGAC